rnacentral:rRNA from 1 species
AGUGAACGCUGGCGGUAGGCCUAACACAUGCAAGUCGAACGGCAGCACAGUAAGAGCUUGCUCUUGCGGGUGGCGAGUGGCGGACGGGUGAGGAAUACAUCGGAAUCUACUUUUUCGUGGGGGAUAACGUAGGGAAACUUACGCUAAUACCGCAUACGACCUACGGGUGAAAGCAGGGGAUCUUCGGACCUUGCGCGAUUGAAUGAGCCGAUGUCAGAUUAGCUAGUUGGCGGGGUAAAGGCCCACCAAGGCGACGAUCCGUAGCUGGUCUGAGAGGAUGAUCAGCCACACUGGAACUGAGACACGGUCCAGACUCCUACGGGAGGCAGCAGUGGGGAAUAUUGGACAAUGGGCGCAAGCCUGAUCCAGCCAUACCGCGUGGGUGAAGAAGGCCUUCGGGUUGUAAAGCCCUUUUGUUGGGAAAGAAAAGCAGCAGGUUAAUACCCCGCUGUUCUGACGGUACCCAAAGAAUAAGCACCGGCUAACUUCGUG